AGUAGGGAGGAAGGUAGUGUAGUUAACAUCUGCAUUAUUUGACGUUACCUACAGAAGAAGCACCGGCUAACUCCGUGCCAGCAGCCGCGGUAAUACGGAGGGUGCGAGCGUUAAUCGGAAUUACUGGGCGUAAAGACGCAUGCAGGCGGCCUGUUAAGUCAGAUGUGAAAGACCCGGGGCGUUAACCUCGGAAUUGCAUUUGAAACUAGGCAGGCUAGAGUCUUGUAGAGGGGGGUAGGAAGUUUCUAGGUGUAGCGGUGAAAUAGCGUAGAGAUCUGAAGGAAUACCAGUGGCGAAGGCGGCCCCCUCGGACAAAGACUGACGCUCAGAUGCGAAAGCGUGGGGAGCAAACAGGAUUAGAUACCCUGGUAG
rnacentral:rRNA from 1 species